CCUACGGGAGGCAGCAGUGAGGAAUAUUCGUCAAUGGCCGUAAGGCUGAACGAGCCACGUCGCGUGAAUGAAGAAGGUUCUAUGGUUUGUAAACUUCUUUUUUAGAGGAGUAAAGGUGUCCAAGUAUGGAUAUUUGCAUGUACCCUAUGAAUAAGCAUCGGCUAACUCCGUGCCAGCCGCCGCGGUAAUACGGAGGAUGCGAGCGUUAUCCGGAUUUAUUGGGUUUAAAGGGUGCGUAGGUUGUUUUUUAAGUCAGCGGUGAAAGUUUGUGGCUUAACCAUAAAAUUGUCGUGGAAACUGGAAGACUUGAGUGUGUUAGAGGUAGGCGGAACGCGAGGUGUAGCGGUGAAAUGCAUAGAUAUAACGCAGAACACCGAUUGCGAAGGCAGCUUACUAAGCCAUAACUGACACUGAAGCACGAAAGCGUGGGGAGCAAACAGGAUUAGAUACCCUGGUAGUC
rnacentral:rRNA from 1 species